rnacentral:rRNA from 1 species
UGGGGAAUAUUGGACAAUGGGCGAAAGCCUGAUCCAGCCAUGCCGCGUGUGUGAAGAAGGUCUUCGGAUUGUAAAGCACUUUAAGUUGGGAGGAAGGGCAGUAAAUUAAUACUUUGCUGUUUUGACGUUACCGACAGAAUAAGCACCGGCUAACUCUGUGCCAGCAGCCGCGGUAAUACAGAGGGUGCAAGCGUUAAUCGGAAUUACUGGGCGUAAAGCGCGCGUAGGUGGUUUGUUAAGUUGGAUGUGAAAUCCCCGGGCUCAACCUGGGAACUGCAUUCAAAACUGACGAGCUAGAGUAUGGUAGAGGGUGGUGGAAUUUCCUGUGUAGCGGUGAAAUGCGUAGAUAUAGGAAGGAACACCAGUGGCGAAGGCGACCACCUGGACUGAUACUGACACUGAGGUGCGAAAGCGUGGGGAGCAAACA